rnacentral:lncRNA from 1 species
CUAUAGGUUCAGUACCUACGACCCUUGAAUCGACACUAUUCCACAGAUGAUGGUGGCACAAGCAGCGUCCCACACAAAUAGCGUAGUACGGUGCUGCCGUGCAACACUCACAAUUAAAAACACUGACUUUUCAUGACCUGGAUAUGUGAACUUGACAGUUCUCCCCGUGUCCCCGUGGGUUCCAGGAGCUCUGGUUUACACCCUCGCAAGCUGUAAAAAAAAUAUGAAUAUUAAACAAAUUUAACCUGAAAGUUAAAUAUAAAUAUAAGGAUUCACAUGUUUAUACAAUUUAAGACCGUGUAAAUGAUUUACUUUAAACAAAAGGCUUAGAAUACAUUUUCUUGUGCCACAGAAUUCAAUGGAUUCAUAUCUGAAAGAAAAGAAAUAAAGCAUUGCCCUCAUAUAAGAACCCAGCACUGCAGUCAAUCAUUGUGUUCAUGUCACUUUCUUUUAUUAACAGUAGCUAAAGUUAUCAGGUCAGGGAAGCAGAACAAAAAUUACAAUAUUUUAGCUCUAGAAUAUAUGGAGUAGAGUUGUUAUACUAUUGCCAUACAGUCUUCCCAAAUAAAUUUAAAAAAUGAAAAAAAGUGAGCUUACUGGUGUCAUGAUACCGAAGUCCAGUUGUUUCCAGGAAGAAAAUAUAUAUAUAUUUUGUGUUCCCGUUUAUGAACAUUGCAGAGUGGCGCGUGCAGGGAUAGUGUUUGUCCCUCGCGCAUCAUUAAAACGCGUCAGCGUUAGCCACGGCUAGCUGGCUAGCUACAGUAACAGUGCACCCUCAACUUAAAUACACAUUACAUUCAUUGUCCAAAUGUUAUACACGCAUUGCCUACAGCUGUGCAGUUUCCACACUCGCCCACUCUCGAGUUUUUCCUCCGCGUCUCUGACAGCCGUCGACGAUGAAUUGGGUCGGGGGCUCGAGGAGCCGGCUGGUGACGAAGGACGAUGCUAAAAAGCAGAGGGAGUUCUUUGAAAAGAGAAAAAUGCAAAAGAAGCUGAAGAACCUGGGGCUAGCUCUGCCGGCAUCCCCCGGGGGAGCCGGCGCUGCGGCCACCGGCAGCGUGGACCUGGUGACCUUGUUCAUAGUCAACCAGAUCGCUACCAAGAAGGAAAAUAAAGAUCUUCCUAAAGUUGCAGUUCUCGGCAGCGGCAGGAGAGGAUCCAACAGACAGAACAACCCCCUGGUUCUCCCGAUGAGCCCCUGUUCCCCGUCACAGCUGAGUCUGGUCGAGAGCCAGCCUCAGUACAGUGUUCACGGAAUGACAAAGAGCAGGCACGUUAUUCCACAAGGGUUCAGGUGUCAACAGUUGUCACCGGUGCUGGAGUCACCUUUCUCCGACAACAGCGCGUCCGACUACCCGCCGCCCACAUUCGCCCGCCUCAGCCCCUUCUCCUCCAUGUCGUCCGCCUCCUCGUGCCAAGGUGGUGUGUUCCCCCUGAAGUUGAGUCGUCGGCAGCUUCCUCCUCGCUGCUCCCCUCCGCCCUGGGUCACCUCCGGGAUGAGGCACGUCCAGUUCCAACCUUUCUCCCAGCCCAGAGGGAUGACAGACAAUCUGCCCUGGUCCUGUGGAUCCGACCCAGCGCUCUACCAACAGGAGACGCCCACGGCGGCGCAAGUCCUGUUCGGGAGUCCAGAACCAGACGUGUCAGACGUAAGAGUCCGCGACGUCAGCUUCUCCCUUGAUCAAACGGAGGACAAGGAGUCGGCGUUGGACUUCACGCUGCACCAGUCGGACGCCGAGCAGCAUUUUGAGGAGGACGUCUUCAGGGGCUUCAGUAACGAAGACGACGAAAAAGAAGCUUUUCAUUUUGGGAGUGCAAGGUCCAAGAUAUACCUCAGAGAUGGAACACCAGUCAAAUCCUCAGCACCGCAAACUGUCCCUGACUUACAUUGUGUGGGAAUGGAGCUCUCCAACUGCAGUGACAAAAACUUCUCAUAUCCUGGACACAACAGUGGCCACGUGGAAAACUGCGGGUAUUCACAGAGUUACUCCUGUGCGGGAUGUUACCUCAGCUCAGACUCAAACGAUGAAGAAGAAUACUGCCCGCCAUGCCUCCAGGCUUCUGCAUCUUCACACGCGGAGCAAGCCUGUUGCGCACAUGCCUCGAACCAGGGCUCAAAGGGGGAGCCAGAACACGGGCCUCUCACCCCACACAUAAAACCCCAAAUGAACGUCAAAGUUGAUGAGACGGUUACGAAUAACGCGGCGGACAAAGCCUCAGGAAGCGGCGGCCGACGGCUACGAAGCGGCACAGCUCAGUCUGCAUCUAUUCGCCCUCCGGUUCAAACUCUGACCUCAGAGAUCUUCGAAUGCAGAACACUCUCCGGUGAAACCAGAGACGCCGGGACCCAAACCGUCGCCUGGGAACGGUGCGAUGCCUCGACUCAGUGCGGCUUCCUCAUCGGGUCCGCAGCCCCCGGGUUCAGCAUCGGCCUUCCACCUGUUGGCGUGUCGGUGCAAUGUCUCGCCACCGGGAGGCAGACGGACACUGCCGCUGCCUCCGCAGAGCCGAGCACACACACUGCAGCCGCAACAGGCAACGGCGGAGGGAAGCAUACGCCCUGGAGCAGGAAGAAACCCGAGGCUGGUUCCCCACCGGGCGGCUGUGGCUUCGUGACCAAAUUCUCUGCCAACAACGACGAUAGCAAAGUGUCCCCAGAGACACACGGCGGCCGCUUCCCGGAGGCUCUGAGCUCGACCGCUGGCAGAGGUGAAGAGGGCAGAGGUGAGAGAGGGCGACGUGAAUCAGACACAGGGACCGGAGAGCUCUGA